rnacentral:rRNA from 1 species
CAGCAUGGUCUUAGCUUGCUAAGACUGAUGGCGACCGGCGCACGGGUGAGUAACACGUAUCCAACCUGCCGUCUACUCUUGGACAGCCUUCUGAAAGGAAGAUUAAUACAAGAUGGCAUCAUGAGUCCACAUGUUCACAUGAUUAAAGGUAUUCCGGUAGACGAUGGGGAUGCGUUCCAUUAGAUAGUAGGCGGGGUAACGGCCCACCUAGUCUUCGAUGGAUAGGGGUUCUGAGAGGAAGGUCCCCCACAUUGGAACUGAGACACGGUCCAAACUCCUACGGGAGGCAGCAGUGAGGAAUAUUGGUCAAUGGGCGAGAGCCUGAACCAGCCAAGUAGCGUGAAGGAUGACUGCCCUAUGGGUUGUAAACUUCUUUUAUAAAGGAAUAAAGUCGGGUAUGCAUACCCGUUUGCAUGUACUUUAUGAAUAAGGAUCGGCUAACUCCGUGCCAGCAGCCGCGGUAAUACGGAGGAUCCGAGCGUUAUCCGGAUUUAUUGGGUUUAAAGGGAGCGUAGAUGGAUGUUUAAGUCAGUUGUGAAAGUUUGUGGCUCAACCGUAAAAUUGCAGUUGAUACUGGAUAUCUUGAGUGCAGUUGAGGCAGGCGGAAUUCGUGGUGUAGCGGUGAAAUGCUUAGAUAUCACGAAGAACUCCGAUUGCGAAGGCAGCCUG